UACGGGAGGCAGCAGUGGGGAAUAUUGCACAAUGGGCGCAAGCCUGAUGCAGCCAUGCCGCGUGUAUGAAAAAGGCCUUCGGGUUGUAAAGUACUUUCAGUCGUGAGGAAGGUGUUAAGGUUAAUAACCUUAGCAAUUGACGUUAGCGACAGAAGAAGCACCGGCUAACUCCGUGCCAGCAGCCGCGGUAAUACGGAGGGUGCGAGCGUUAAUCGGAAUUACUGGGCGUAAAGGGCACGCAGGCGGUUAAUUAAGUUGGAUGUGAAAUCCCCGGGCUUAACCUGGGAAUGGCAUUCAAGACUGGUUAGCUAGAGUCUUGUAGAGGGGGUAGAAUUCCAUGUGUAGCGGUGAAAUGCGUAGAGAUGUGGAGGAAUACCGGUGGCGAAGGCGGCCCCUGGACAAAGACUGACGCUCAUGUGCGAAAGCGUGGGGAGCGAAACGAGGGAUUAGAUACC
rnacentral:rRNA from 1 species